CUAUGAUGAAUCCUCCAUCUUCAUUACCAUAACUCACCUUUUUUCCUUCACCCCAUAACCCUAACCCUAACCCUAACUUCUUCUAUUCUCAUAUCCACCACCAUCCCUCUUCCAUCACCACCACCAACUCAAUCACUUCACCACCGCCACCUUCGCCUCUGCCGUAGCCUUCUGAUCUCCCAAUCGCUCUCUUAGCACUCAAACACCUCAUCCACCUCUUCGAAACCACCCUCCACUCCAUCUCCACUCUCAUCCCCACAACUGCCACCACCAUCGCCCUCUGUCCUCGCCCUUUCAAUUUUCACCACCGUCAUCUGCCGGAAUCCCUUUUUUGCCACUCCUUCUAAUGCCCUUAUUUCCGUUCCCCUCUUCUCAAUCUCGAUCCCCUUCUAUUCUAAUCACUGUGCUACCCCAACACUCUCAAACCCUUCCAACAACUCUUUAAUUAGAACCGCUUCCUUCAAACCCUACACGAUCCCAACUUCGACCUCUGUUUCUCCCGCAAUGAUUAUUGUGACUUCGGCCCCAAUCUCCUCUACUGUAAUUACCCCAGCGUAGUUAGCUCUACCGAUCGAGAUAGUUUGAGCUGAACCAUUGCUCUCCCAGCUUUCCACUGUUGCCACUGUUGCAGAUGAUGGUUCAUAUUCAUCCCCAGCUUUUCUCCCAAACGAAGGAAGCUUUCGUAUACCGCUGUUGAGAAGGUAGAUAAGAAUGCGAAAUUCAUAGAGGUUGUUGAUUGUGAAGAUAAGGAAGAGGAUGAUUGGCUACCUCCAUCUCCUACAGUUUCAGCUGAUACACUGAAACUUAGUGAGGAUUCAACUAUAAAGGA